GCUGAAUCAAACUCUCUUCUAGAGUUUCUGGCCCCACCGAUGAUAUUUAGACAAAUAGGAACCAUCCGUUUUAUUCCACACCCCAAUUUUAUUGUUGGUAACAACACAUGGAUGUGCAGAUAUAUGCGAGAAAAAAUCAAAGAGGAAACAUAAGGAUUUCAGAUGAAUAAUGGUGUAUCAACGAUCUGGAAACUGAUAGAGGUGAGGGUUAGUCUCUAUGGACCGGAUAGCAAGCACGGGCAGAUUUAAGCCGUGGUAUUGGAGGCAGAAAUAAGCUGAGAGGUUUUUAGUCUGGAAUUUACCAACCCUAAGUUUAAGGAUUAAUAUCUGGCUGAGGUAAGCAAUUGAAGUUUUAAAACUUUCUUUCAGUUAUAUAGAGAAGUACGAAUUAACAAUGGAUGCUUCGCCCUUACGUGCUGACAACCAUUUUGAAAAACAAAGAAAGUUGCGACCAUAUGAAUAAACCCACUGGGAUAGAAGCAGCUAUAGACAGAAGAGUAGGAAGCCAUGUAAACCUGGAUCCGAGUAUUAUAUGAAGUGUUGCACAAAAUGCUAUCAUCAUGGUAACUAUAGAGAUGAAUAGAGUUAUAAAGCUCAUUAUCAACCUUUUAGGAAUGAAUCUAAGGUAAUCAUGAUCUUCAAAUUGUGAAGUUUGGAGACCUAAGAACAAAAGAAGUGACGAAAAAGAAGAAAAUAGAGCCAUUGCAUUUGCAACUAUAAACACUGUGAAGGCCGUUUUAUGCAAGAAAAUUGGGAUGCCUCUCUUAUGGAUAUCGCUGUUGUCAGAAAAGUUACCUCCGGGUAUGGUAAAAGUUGAAGCGAAUGCGACGGUGACAAUGAGUGCGGAUACAAGCGUGCCGGAUUGAGAUGUAUCUUUCGUCCAUUUCUCUGCAUCCGCAAUUGGUUGGCGGUGGUGAAGGUCAAGAAUCUCUUGAGGAGUCCAUUUGUCUUCGUUGGUUGCUGUUAUGUAUUCCAGUGGACU